rnacentral:rRNA from 1 species
GACAAAUAAAAAAUGCAUUACACCGGUUCUCGUCUGAUCACCGAAGUUAAGCAACGUUGGGUUUGGUUAGUACUUGGAUGGGUGACCGCCUGGGAAUACCAAAUGCUGUUGUCU